rnacentral:rRNA from 1 species
UUAACCUCAGAUCAGGUAGGACUACCCGCUGAACUUAAGCAUAUCAAUA